GACGAACGCUGGCGGCGUGCUUAACACAUGCAAGUGGAGCGACGAACCGGGGCUUGCCCCGGGGCAGAGCCGCGAACGGGUGAGUAACACGUGGGUAACCCACCCCGAUGACCGGGACAACCCGAGGAAACUCGGGCUAAUACCGGAUGAGCGCCCAGACCAUGAGGUCUUGGCGGAAAGAUAGCUUCGGCCUUCGCAUCGGGACGGGCCCGCGGCCCAUUAGCUUGUUGGUGGGGUAACGGCCUACCAAGGCGACGAUGGGUAGCUGGUCUGAGAGGACGAUCAGCCACACUGGGACUGAGACACGGCCCAGACUCCUACGGGAGGCAGCAGUGGGGAAUCUUGCGCAAUGCGCGAAAGCGUGACGCAGCAACGCCGCGUGGGGGAAGAAGGCCUUCGGGUUGUAAACCCCUUUCAGUUGGGACGAAGCUUCGUCGGUGAAUAGCCGGCCGGAGUGACGGUACCUUCACAAGAAGCCCCGGCUAACUACGUGCCAGCAGCCGCAGUAAAAC
rnacentral:rRNA from 1 species